rnacentral:rRNA from 1 species
UACGAAGGGGGCUAGCGUUGCUCGGAAUUACUGGGCGUAAAGGGCGCGUAGGCGGACAUUUAAGUCAGGGGUGAAAUCCCAGAGCUCAACUCUGGAACUGCCUUUGAUACUGGAUGUCUUGAGUGUGAGAGAGGUAUGUGGAACUCCGAGUGUAGAGGUGAAAUUCGUAGAUAUUCGGAAGAACACCAGUGGCGAAGGCGACAUACUGGCUCAUUACUGACGCUGAGGCGCGAAAGCGUGGGGAGCAAACAGG